GCUGGGCAUGGUGGCGGGCGCCUGUAAUCCCAGCUACUCGGGAGGUUGAGGCAGGAGAAUUGCUUGAACCCGGGAGGUGGAGGUUGCAGUGAGCCAAGAUUGAGCCACUGCACUCCAUCCUGGGUGACAGAGCGAGACUCUGUCUCAA
rnacentral:SRP_RNA from 1 species